GACGGCAUUGUCAUUCGAUUUUUUAGUUAUGCGAGACCGUAACCGCUUCGUCUCGCACCACCGUACGCAGAACUAUCUACAAACGGCAAGGGACACAGGGGUUGCCGACGAGAGACGCCAACCUUUACUGCAGGUGUUUCACGAUAACGUCCGGGGAUAUCUCGUUUUAUACGUCGAGACAGACGACAAGUUCUGCUAUUCUAUCGGUACGAGAAAGCUGACGCGAGCCCGUCUCUUCUACUGGAAUCGCACCGUAUGGAAAAAAAAAAUAUCUACCGGUACUUCACGACACGUUCCGGGAGACGUCGGGAGAAUCUCCGGGGUUCAAUUUUGAGGAGAUCCGCGGAGCUCAAAACAACAGGCUGACGACUAGGUCUUUCCCAGGCAUUUAGAAGGAACUCUGACAGCAGAAGUCGUGACUGCAAAAUCAGUGAACAGUUCUGAAACACGGUUGGACCUGUGCUGGGGGAAGAAAGAGUACUGUGUGUGACAGGAGGGUGACACGACAGGCAGGAAAGCCUAAUUCACCUGGGAACCCUGCAAGAUAUCCCCCACAAGCAAAAUAAUGUCUGGACGCACUAAUAAGGGAGGAGCUGGAUAAGGGAGGUGCCAGCUGCCAGCGUCACUGAAGGUGUUUCUCGACAUCAGUGCAUCACCAAGCCAAGGAGGCACCAAGCCAAACACUGGGAAGUCGCCGGGAAGGACAUCUCUCAGUAUCUUCCAGGAUCAACCACACUGAAAUGGUGGGACUGAUCCCGGUGAGAGGUUGUCUAAUGCCAAGUACGCCAUCUCCACAACCAGAAAGGCCAGUGUUCGUGUGUACACCAUACCAGAGGACCUGAAACUGUUAAGUUCGUACAUAUCUUACAAGGGUUUAAUUGUUUAAAACGGAAUCAUCUUGCAGAAAUGGGCUGGGAUUGACUUGACAUCGGCAUGAUAGGAAGUAAAUGAUCUGUGAUAUUACAUUCAUAAUUUUAGCUGAUAUUAAGAUUCACUUUGUCUACAUGAGGCAUUGUCGGCAGGGCUGAUCAGUUUCUUGGUUGGUGGUAGGGUGCUUGAGUGUGUUUUGUUGACACCCUGAGUGAUGUUGUUGGUAGGUGGCUAGGGCAUUUUGUGAGUGGGGGCUUCUUUUGCACACGGGACUUCAGCCCGUUUCUGUGGUGUACAGGCCCGGUGUGUGGCUGGUUUGGCUUCUGUGACUGUGUUAAUGGUUGAGAUUGUGUUCGGAGUUACUGCGAAGUUCAGUCCUUUAGAGAGCAGGAAUUUCCUGGAUCUGUUGGCUUGUGACGACUUGGGUUCUUCUACCAUCUGUCGUCUUUUCUGCCUUGUGUGAUGGUCUAGGGCCGGGAACCUACUAGUAGACCAUUACAUAAGAUGCCCUGUGUCGUAAUCUUGGCUCCCGAACCAAGACGACGGCACAGGGACAGAAAGGAAGACAGGUGGUUGAAGAGUACAAGUUGUUGUGAGCUGACAGAAACGGGAAGUCUCAGUUCUCUGAAGGACAGAACUUUGCACUAACUUUGAAUGCAGUCUCAGCCAUGGACAUGGUCACAGAAACUGAAUCGGCCAUACAUCGGGCCUGUAUACUGCAGAAACAGACUGAAGCGCUGUGUGUAGAAGUAGCCACUGCUCUCAGAAUGUCCUAACCUCCUACCAACAGCAUUACUCGGGAUGUCAUCAAAAUGUACUCAACACCUUGUCGCUUAUCAAGAGAUCAUGAUUCUCUCCGCUGAUAAUGCUUCAGGUAGACAGAGGGGAUGGGUGAACAUUUCUAGGUUGAACCUAGACCUGAAACUACAAUCACAAAUCAAGUUACUUCCUGUCAUGCCCCCAGCAGUCUGUAGAUGAAGUUCUUGUUUUCACAGAAUACAAAGUGUACAAUUUUACAGCCAUCAAGUAUGUUAUAUCCUAUAGAUACGCGUAGUUCAGUUUACUAAGAGUUACGUACUGUGUUCUGAUGGCGUCUGGAUUGGACUGUAGGCAGUAGUCGUUAAAAAAAUCCUAUACAUAGUACAAAUUGACGUAUUUCUUGUAUUCCUUCUACACAUGUAUGAAGGCUUUUUGUUCUCGAUUACUCGUGUAUUUUGUGGCUUUUCUAGUACAAUACUAGCCACCUUGUCAUAGAAAGUCAUCUUGUCGAAGAAAACUAAGACCUGUAAUCUUUUUCUGUGAUUAACGUUUGAAAAUUAAUGUCGAGUACAACCUGA